rnacentral:rRNA from 1 species
UACGGAGGGUGCAAGCGUUAUCCGGAAUCACUGGGCGUAAAGGGCGCGUAGGCGGCCUGAUAAGUAGGAGGUGAAAUCCUGGGGCUCAACCUCAGGGCUGCCUUCUAGACUGUCCGGCUUGAGCACAGUAGAGGCAGGUGGAAUUCCCGGUGUAGCGGUGGAAUGCGUAGAUAUCGGGAAGAACAUCGGUGGCGAAGGCGGCCUGCUGGGCUUUUGCUGACGCUGAGGCGCGACAGCGUGGGGAGCAAACAGG